CGUAAAGCGCAUGCAGGUGGUUUGUUUAAGUUCAGAUGUGAAAGACCCGGGGCGUCAACCUCGGAAUUAGCAUUUGUAAACUAGGCAGACUAGAGUACUGUAGAGGGGGGUAGGAAUUUCAGGUGUAGCGGUGAAAUAGCGUAGAGAUCUGAAGGAAUACCGGUGGCGAAGGCGGCCCCCUCGGACAGAUACUGACACUCAGAUGCGAAAGCGUGGGGAGCAAACAGGAUUAGAUACCCCUGGUAG
rnacentral:rRNA from 1 species